rnacentral:piRNA from 1 species
UCACCCACACAGGAUGGAACUGCUACACAG